rnacentral:rRNA from 1 species
UGAAUACGAGACGCUAAGGCGUCGAAGUAGUGUAUGUCAUACUUCCAAGAAAAGCUUGCACUGUCAUAAGUAAAAAAUGCCUGUACCAUAACCGACACAGGUGGGUAGGUAGAGUAUACUAAGGGGCGCGAGAUAACUCUCUCUAAGGAACUCGGCAAAAUAACUCCGUAACUUCGGGAGAAGGAGUACCUUAUUCUAUAAGGUUGCAAUAACAAGAUCCAAGCAACUGUUUAUCAAAAACACAGGUCUCCGCUAAGUCGUAAGACGAUGUAUGGGGGCUGACGCCUGCCCAGUGCCAGAAGGUUAAAGAAGUCGGUUAGCAUUAGCGAAGCUGGUAACUGAAGCCCUGGUGAACGGCGGCCGUAACCAUAACGGUCCUAAGGUAGCGAAAUUCCUUGUCGGGUAAGUUCCGACCCGCACGAAAGGCGUAAUGAUUUGGAUACUGUCUCGGAGAGGGGCUCGGUGAAAUAGACUUGUCUGUGAAGAUGCGGACUACCUGCACCAGGACAGAAAGACCCUAUGAAGCUUUACUGUAACUUGAAAUUGAAAUUGGACUUUAUUCGCGCAGUAUAGGUGGGAGGUGUUGAUUAUAAUCUUGCGGGAUUAUUGGAGCCAUCAGUGAGAUACCACUCUUGUAAUGUUAGAUUUCUAACUUUGAAUCAUUAUCUGGUCAAAGGACAGUUUCAGGCGGGCAGUUUGACUGGGGCGGUCGCCUCCCAAACGGUAACGGAGGCGUACAAAGGUUUCCUCUGAACGGGUAGAAAUCGUAUCUAGAGUGUAAAGGCAUAAGGAAGCUUGACUGUGAGACCUACAAGUCGAACAGGGACGAAAGUCGGUCUUAGUGAUCUGACGGUACUGAGUGGAAAGGCCGUCACUCAACGGAUAAAAGUUACUCUAAGGAUAACAGGCUGAUCUCCCCCAAGAGUUCACAUCGACGGGGAGGUUUGGCACCUCGAUGUCGGCUCAUCGCAUCCUGGGGCGGUAGUACGUCCCAAGGGUUGGGCUGUUCGCCCAUGGAAGCGGUACGCGAGCUGGGUUCAGAACGUCGUGAGACAGUUCGGUCCAUAUCCGGUGUAGGCGUUAGAAUAUUGAGAGGAGCCUUCUUUAGUACGAGAGGACCGAGAAGGACAUACCUCUGGUGUACCAGUUAUCGUGCCAACGGUAAACGCUGGGUAGCUAUGUAUGGAGUGGAUAACCGCUGAAAGCAUCUAAGUGGGAAGCCCACCUCAAGAUAAG